rnacentral:rRNA from 1 species
AAAUUGAAGAGUUUGAUCAUGGCUCAGAUUGAACGCUGGCGGCAGGCCUAACACAUGCAAGUCGAACGGUAACAGGAAGAAGCUUGCUUCUUUGCUGACGAGUGGCGGACGGGUGAGUAAUGUCUGGGAAACUGCCUGAUGGAGGGGGAUAACUACUGGAAACGGUAGCUAAUACCGCAUAACGUCGCAAGACCAAAGAGGGGGACCUUCGGGCCUCUUGCCAUCGGAUGUGCCCAGAUGGGAUUAGCUAGUAGGUGGGGUAACGGCUCACCUAGGCGACGAUCCUAGCUGGUCUGAGAGGAUGACCAGCCACACUGGAACUGAGACACGGUCCAGACUCCUACGGGAGGCAGCAGUGGGGAAUAUUGCACAAUGGGCGCAAGCCUGAUGCAGCCAUGCCGCGUGUAUGAAGAAGGCCUUCGGGUUGUAAAGUACUUUCAGCGGGGAGGAAGGGAGUAAAGUUAAUACCUUUGCUCAUUGACGUUACCCGCAGAAGAAGCACCGGCUAACUCCGUGCCAGCAGCCGCGGUAAUACGGAGGGUGCAAGCGUUAAUCGGAAUUACUGGGCGUAAAGCGCACGCAGGCGGUUUGUUAAGUCAGAUGUGAAAUCCCCGGGCUCAACCUGGGAACUGCAUCUGAUACUGGCAAGCUUGAGUCUCGUAGAGGGGGGUAGAAUUCCAGGUGUAGCGGUGAAAUGCGUAGAGAUCUGGAGGAAUACCGGUGGCGAAGGCGGCCCCCUGGACGAAGACUGACGCUCAGGUGCGAAAGCGUGGGGAGCAAACAGGAUUAGAUACCCUGGUAGUCCACGCCGUAAACGAUGUCGACUUGGAGGUUGUGCCCUUGAGGCGUGGCUUCCGGAGCUAACGCGUUAAGUCGACCGCCUGGGGAGUACGGCCGCAAGGUUAAAACUCAAAUGAAUUGACGGGGGCCCGCACAAGCGGUGGAGCAUGUGGUUUAAUUCGAUGCAACGCGAAGAACCUUACCUGGUCUUGACAUCCACGGAAGUUUUCAGAGAUGAGAAUGUGCCUUCGGGAACCGUGAGACAGGUGCUGCAUGGCUGUCGUCAGCUCGUGUUGUGAAAUGUUGGGUUAAGUCCCGCAACGAGCGCAACCCUUAUCCUUUGUUGCCAGCGGUCCGGCCGGGAACUCAAAGGAGACUGCCAGUGAUAAACUGGAGGAAGGUGGGGAUGACGUCAAGUCAUCAUGGCCCUUACGACCGGGCUACACGUGCUACAAUGGCGCAUACAAAGAGAAGCGACCUCGCGAGAGCAAGCGGACCUCAUAAAGUGCGUCGUAGUCCGGAUUGGAGUCUGCAACUCGACUCCAUGAAGUCGGAAUCGCUAGUAAUCGUGGAUCAGAAUGCCACGGUGAAUACGUUCCCGGGCCUUGUACACACCGCCCGUCACACCAUGGGAGUGGGUUGCAAAAGAAGUAGGUAGCUUAACCUUCGGGAGGGCGCUUACCACUUUGUGAUUCAUGACUGGGGUGAAGUCGUAACAAGGUAACCGUAGGGGAACCUGCGGUUGGAUCACCUCCUUACCUUAAAGAAGC